rnacentral:rRNA from 1 species
UACGAAGGGGGCUAGCGUUGUUCGGAAUUACUGGGCGUAAAGGGCGCGUAGGCGGUGUGUCAAGUCAGGCGUGAAAGCCCCGGGCUCAACCUGGGAACCGCGCUUGAGACUGGCACGCUCGAGUUCGGGAGAGGAUGGUGGAAUUCCCAGUGCAGAGGUGAAAUUCGUAGAUAUUAGGAAGAACACCGGUGGCGAAGGCGGCCCACUGGUCCGGUACUGACGCUGAGGUGCGAAAGCGUGGGGAGCAAACAGG